UAGGGAAUCUUCCGCAAUGGGCGAAAGCCUGACGGAGCAACGCCGCGUGAGUGAUGAAGGUCUUCGGAUCGUAAAACUCUGUUAUUAGGGAAGAACAAAUGUGUAAGUAACUAUGCACGUCUUGACGGUACCUAAUCAGAAAGCCCCGGCUAACUUCGUGCCAGCAGCCGCGGUAAUACGAAGGGGGCUAGCGUUGUUCGGAUUUACUGGGCGUAAAGCGCACGUAGGCGGACUUUUAAGUCAGGGGUGAAAUCCCGGGGCUCAACCCCGGAACUGCCUUUGAUACUGGAAGGCUUGAGUAUGGUAGAGGUGAGUGGAAUUCCGAGUGUAGAGGUGAAAUUCGUAGAUAUUCGGAGGAACACCAGUGGCGAAGGCGGCUCACUGGACCAUUACUGACGCUGAGGUGCGAAAGCGUGGGGAGCAAACAGG
rnacentral:rRNA from 1 species